rnacentral:rRNA from 1 species
GUGGGGAAUAUUGCACAAUGGGCGCAAGCCUGAUGCAGCGAUGCCGCGUGCGGGAAGAAGGCCCUAGGGUUGUAAACCGCUUUCAGCAGGGAAGAAAAUGACGGUACCUGUAGAAGAAGGUGCGGCCAACUACGUGCCAGCAGCCGCGGUGACACGUAGGCACCAAGCGUUGUCCGGAUUUAUUGGGCGUAAAGAGCUCGUAGGCGGUUCAGUAAGUCGGGUGUGAAAACUCUGGGCUCAACCCAGAGACGCCACCCGAUACUGCUGUGACUUGAGUACGGUAGGGGAGCGGGGAAUUCCUGGUGUAGCGGUGAAAUGCGCAGAUAUCAGGAGGAACACCAGUGGCGAAGGCGCCGCUCUGGGCCGAAACUGACGCUGAGGAGCGAAAGCAUGGGUAGCAAACAGGAUUAGAAACCCCUGUAGUCC